UACGUAGGGUGCGAGCGUUGUCCGGAAUUAUUGGGCGUAAAGAGCUUGUAGGCGGUUUGUCGCGUCUGCUGUGAAAAUCCGGGGCUCAACCCCGGACUUGCAGUGGGUACGGGCAGACUAGAGUGUGGUAGGGGAGACUGGAAUUCCUGGUGUAGCGGUGAAAUGCGCAGAUAUCAGGAGGAACACCGAUGGCGAAGGCAGGUCUCUGGGCCACUACUGACGCUGAGAAGCGAAAGCAUGGGGAGCGAGCAGG
rnacentral:rRNA from 1 species